rnacentral:rRNA from 1 species
UACAGAGGUCUCAAGCGUUUGUUCGGAUUCAUUGGGCGUAAAGGGUGCGUAGGUGGCGCGGUAAGUUCGGGUGUGAAAUCUCGGAGCUUAACUCCGAAAUUGCAUUCGAUACUGCCGUGCUCGAGGACUGGAGAGGAGACUGGAAUUCAUGGUGUAGCAGUGAAAUGCGUAGAGAUCAUGAGGAAGACCAGUGGCGAAGGCGGGUCUCUGGACAGUUCCUGACACUGAGGCACGAAGGCCAGGGGAGCAAACGGG